UUUCAGCCAUUUAAGCUGACUGGAUUCCUUUCCUCAUGGGGGCCUGGUGUGUGGUGGCUGCAGAGAGCAGCCUCCUUAGUGGUAUAGUGACCUGUUGCUUGUGCAGGUAGCUCUAAGGGACCUUGGAGACAGCC
ensembl:snoRNA SNORA70 Small nucleolar RNA SNORA70